CCAGGGAUGGUGGCACCCUUUUGGGGACGGCAUCACCCUCUGGGGACCCUUCACCCUUUUGGGGUCGGCAUCACCCUUUGGGAACCCUUCACCCUUUUGGGGAAUGCUUCACCCUUUUGAGGACGCCAUCCCCAGGGAUGGUGGCACCAUUUGGGGUCGGCGUCACCACCUGGGGACCCUUCACCCUUUUGGGGAAUGCUUCACCCUUUGGGGGACAGCGUCACCCCUUUGGGGAUGGCGUCACCCUUUAGGAACCCUUCACCCUUUUGGGGACGGCGUCACCCUUUUGGGGACCCUUCACCCUUUUGGGGACGCCAGCCCCAGGGAUGGUGGCACCCUUUUGGGGUCGAUGUCACCCUUUGGGAACCCUUCACCUGUUUGGGGACAGCGUCACCAGGGAUGGUGGCACCCUUUUGGGGACGGCGUCACCCUUUAGGAACCCUUCACCCUUUUGGGGACAGUGUCACCCUUUGGGAACCCUUCACCCUUUUGGGGGACAGCGUCACCCUUUUGGGGACACUGUCCCCCAGGGAUGGUGGCACCCUUUUGGGGUCGAUGUCACCCUUUGGGAACCCUUCACCCUUUUGGGGAAUGCUUCACCCUUUGGGGGACAGCGUCACCCCUUUGGGGACAGUGCCACCCUUUGGGGACCCUUCACCCUUCUGGGGUUGGCGUCACCCUUUUGGGGACCCUUCGCCCUUUUGGGGGCCAGGCGCCACCCACCUCCUCGAGCAGCUCGAGCCCCCCGCGGGGCAGGGGGCCGGCGUGGCGCAGCUGCUCCAGCAGCCCCUCCAUGGCCUCCAGGCGGGCGCAGUGACGCCGGUGCCGCUGCUGCAGCACCUUCACCUUGCGCUGCAGCACCAGCACCACGCCCAGCAGCUCCCCGGUGCUCAGCUCGCCCCGCGCCGCCUCCGCC
rnacentral:lncRNA from 1 species